rnacentral:lncRNA from 1 species
CUCCUAUGUGCCCAAGAAGGAAUGGGGCCAUAGAUAGAAACAAGCACAUGAUUGAGCCAGCAAGUUACCUCUUAGAAAAUUAUCCUAAUACAAGAGGGAAAAGACAGGAACACAAUACAUUCUCCACGGCUGCAUAGCAUCCAUCCUGCCAAUCGCCUGCCAACAUGUAAAGAAUUUGGACUGUGGUUUGUCUGUGCUCACGCCAGGGGUGCCAGAGAGCUCCCUACAGCCAGUUCUGCACUGUGAAAGAUAGCCGGGCACUGUACAACUCCACUCAGCAAAGACCCAUACACUUUUCAUGCAUGGAUUCCAGAACACAGAACACCAACCCCAAAAUAAUUCAAAGAAAGACUCCUCUCAGCUAUCAACAAAGAACUCAAAGUGAGCCUGUGUGCCACCGAACUGGCCUCUCAAGCCUGGACAUCAGUCACCAACACUUUCUUGGACAGGUCCCUAAAAAUCAAGAAUCAGUCCAGAUGGAACUUAUUGUUUGUAAUGAACAUAAACAUAAUUCUGAUUUGCUCCUUUGUAAGCUGUCCUUUGUUGUGGAUACACAUUAAAAUAAUAUAAUUGCAAUGUGCUCUUAUUAGAUUCAAGAGGAUGUUUUUUUCUCCUGGUACCCAGGGACUGCUGAAGAGAGAACAGGGAUAUGC